UACGGAGGGGGCUAGCGUUGUUCGGAAUUACUGGGCGUAAAGCGUACGUAGGCGGCUUUGCAAGUUAGAGGUGAAAGCCCGGAGCUCAACUCCGGAACUGCCAUUGAAACUGUUUAGCUUGAGUAUGAGAGAGGUAAGUGGAAUUCCCAGUGUAGAGGUGAAAUUCGUAGAUAUUGGGAAGAACACCGGUGGCGAAGGCGGCUCACUGGCUCAUUACUGACGCUCAGGCGCGACAGCGUGGGGAUCAAACAGG
rnacentral:rRNA from 1 species